AGAUGCACAUGGGCCACAUACUAAAGUGAAAAAGCUGUUGUGAAAAAUGUUUAUGUGGCAAGUGACAAUGACUUACUUAUCCAUAACUUGGAAAAAUGUUUUUCUUUGUCUUUAUUAUUGUGGCAUCAAUAUAAUCCACAAUAGUAUACACAGAAUGUACAAACCAUUAGGAACACCUUCCAAAUAUAAUGUUGCACCCCCUUUUGCCCUCAGAACAGCCUAAAUUCUUUGAGGCAUGGACUCAACAAGGUGUUGAAAGCAUUCCAUAGGGACGCUGGCCCAUGUUGACUCCAAUGCUUCUCCCAGUUGUGUCAAGUUGGCUGGAUGUUGUUUGGGUGGUGGACCAUUCUUGAUAAAUACGGGAAACUGUUGAGCAUGAAAAACCCAGUAGCGUUGUAGUUCUUGAUACACUCAAACCGGUGCACUCGGAGAGCGCUGAGAGUCUGGAAGCAUGUUCAGGGAGUGAGUGUUUUAAUAAAUAAAAGAAACAAUGAACACAAACAACGUACUGACAUGAAAACAGAAUCAAUAACGCCUGAGGAAGGAACCAGGAGGAGUGACAGAUACAGGGAAGAUAUUCAAGGAGGUGAUGGAGUCCAGGUGAGUGUCAUAAGGCGCAGGUGCGCUUGACGAUGGCGACAGGUGUGCGGGAUAAUUAGCAGCCUGAUGACCUAGAGGUCAGAGAGGGAGUAUAAUCAGCAGCCUGAUGACCUAGAGGUCAGAGAGGGAGUAUAAUCAGCAGCCUGAUGACCUAGAGGUCAGAGAGGGAGUAUAAUCAGCAGCCUGAUGACCUAGAGGAAGGAGAGGGAGUAUAAUCAGCAGCAUGAUGACCUAGAGGUCGGAGAGGGAAGAUAAUCAGCAGCCUGAUGACCUAGAGGUCAGAGAGGGAGUAUAAUCAGCAGCCUGAUGACCUAGAGGUCAGAGAGGGAGUAUAAUCAGCAGCCUGAUG
rnacentral:lncRNA from 1 species